AGUGGAGGCUAUGUACACAGGAGAUUCCUUGUUUGAAGGACUCUAUUUGUGAGGCCAGGGUACCACACAUGCUGUCCGCAGGAGUAGGUGAAUGUGCAGUUGCCCAGGAAGAGUUAGCCUGUAGCCUGCCUCUGCAUGGCAGUUUGUCCUUGGGUCCUGGCUCUGGAUUUCCAUGUUCCUUGGAGGAGGAUAGGUGAUUUUGCUUGAGAAGACAGCACAGUACCAUACUUUUGUUGUUUUUCUGCUCAUUUCAUCGUCCAUUGAGGACAAUGAAGUUGUGGUCAGCAGGCAUAGCUUUCAGGCCAGCGUGCCCAUGUUGUGUCCCAUGCAUUGUGAGCACAUGCAUGUGGCAUGAACACAUAGGCUGCCACUCCAAGCUGAGUCUGAUAGGCAAUGAGACUCUGGCUUAUCCUGAUCCCGGUGUAGAUCAAAGUCUUCCCAGUAGGAUUGCAUGGCCCCGAGGCUAUUGUGAGCUGCAUUGCAGGUGUGGAAGCAAGGGUGUUGAGAGGGAUGCUCAACAUUAGUGCUCUUUAGCGAGAUGAUGCACUAUAAGGGCACCCUGAACCCAGACGUGCAUCCCUAUGUACGUGCAUUUCUGUGUCCAUAAAUAGUUGAAGCCAGACAGCCAGAUUCCAGAUGUAUCGCAGGGGGCUGGAUGACAUGGCCCUUGUCACCUGUGUACCUGUCUGCCUUUCUGAAGCACGCUUGUGUUUCCUCUACACCUCCCAGGUAGCAUUGGCAUGGAAGGCAGGCCCAUGUUGGUGAGGGACAAUUGUUAUCUUGUGUGAGCCGCAGGGAUACCAGGAAACCCCUGGACACAAAUGGCAAAGGCUUCUUUGGAAGUUGUUGGAUCCCUUCUGCAUGUAAGCAGUUCUUUCCCAGAGCGCUCUGAUUUUCCUCAUUUGCAGGGACAAACACUGUGCGUGGAUCGAUGAUGACUU
rnacentral:lncRNA from 1 species